ensembl:lncRNA
GUCAGGCCCAACGCGGAAAUCUGCAGUGACGAAAGCAGUGAUUCAAAGAGAGAUGUGCCCCCGAAUGUUGGCUGCUUGAUGAACACAGAUGCGACUUACAAAUGAUGCAUUCAACCAAGAGGCGACGAAGCCAGAACGACAAGAUUACAGACCGAGUUGAAACAGACAGUAGACCAGAUGGACAGAUAGUCCAACACACAAAAAAAAGCUACCCUCUCUCGCCAGGUUUGGUGGAGUAAGAUGAGGAAGGCAGCAGAGGGACAGAGCAGCCGGUGGAGCAGACAGACGCUUCGGUCCGGCAUCCGCAGACCUCCUCGCGGCAGCACUCCCAUACGCAUACGCUAAUGCUGCAGCAGCAGCCUGUGGGCUGCCGUCCAGUGUUGUGUGCUGUGUGUGCGGUUCAGUUCAGAGGGGUUUUCAUGUGCAUGUCUGCUGCAUUUGUGUCAUGGGAAAAAUAUUUAUGAAAUCCCCUUGGCGUCCUUCGAGGUUAAAGAAAAGGCUGGAUCACAAAAACAGGGCAAAACACUACAGAGAGGACAACUAUGUCCUAAAGGCUUAGUGGUGAAUUUUAAGUUUAAGGAAUAUUUACCAUUGAAAAUAUUUUUACCUGGCAGGAUAAUUAUCCUGCUGUACUUUGAUAAUCCUAUAUACAAUUUGUGUAGCAAAACCUUUGUCUUUAUGUAUUGCUCUCAGCUUGAUGGUUUCUCAUUCUGGUAUCAGG